AUAUGGAACAUAGCCCAUGUAACUUAGGAGACUGUCUCAUUUUCAAGAGACUUAGGUGAGUAGGAACUUAAGCACCCGUCACUUUCUCAGAGGCAUAUUUGAACAUUUUUCCAGGCUGACCUGAAAUAAUUAGUUUAAUUCACUGACUACAGU